rnacentral:misc_RNA from 1 species
UUCCGAAACUCUAGGCUCAAUUUGGGUAAUUUCAGUAGUGUUGCUAGUGUCGUCAGGAAGUGCAAAAUUUACGUCGGCUUCCCAUGGAGCUCGAUUCUUUCCAGAAAGGUCGUCGGGAAGCCACGCAGCUUCCCAGGCGUCGUUCCAUUCGUCGUUGCCACUUUUGGUCGACAACCGCCGGCGGACGGCGGCGAAGAAGGUGGGGUUUAUGAGGGGUUCUUUGAGAAAGGUUGAUGAGAGUUUGCG